CCCGGUGCAGCAGCGGAUGCGGCCUGGGGGCGGCACAGCACGCGGAUACCCCCGGGCCGGAGCUGCAGCCCGACCAGAGCGGCCCGCGGUGCCGCAGGAGGGCCGGGGGAGCUGCUGCCCGUGGGGCCCGCGCUGGAGCAGCGCCUGAAGGGUGGGCCCCGUGGUACGGAGCCGUGCCGGGGCAGCGCCUGAGGAGCUGCAGCCUGUGGGAAGCCCACCACGCGGGAGCCGUUCAGGAAGGACGGCGUCCGUGGGAGGGACCCACGUGGGGGAGGGGCAGCGAGUGACCACGGGUGGCAGAGACGAUGGGUUACACAGUGGCCGCAGCGCGUGUUGCCCUGCACUGCUGGGAGGGAAUGGAAAAGGGUGCUUUUUCUGGAAGACAGUGUAUUUGAUGAAGUCAAAGGGAGUCUCAAGGGGAAGACUAUGAAGAAAGAGACAGAAGUGUUUUACUGCUGCAAACUUUUCUGUGAUAACUGCUGUUUUCAAAUGCCUGAAUUCUGCCAGCUGACCCAAUGGCUGCUGAAGUGAGAAAGGACAGUCCAGGGUGCUGGAUCCUUUGGUCCUUACGGAUUUC
rnacentral:lncRNA from 1 species